rnacentral:rRNA from 1 species
AGCCUGAUCCAGCCAUGCCGCGUGUGUGAUGAAGGCCUUAGGGUCGUAAAGCACUUUCGCCAGAGAUGAUAAUGACAGUAUCUGGUAAAGAAACCCCGGCUAACUCCGUGCCAGCAGCCGCGGUAAUACGGAGGGGGUUAGCGUUGUUCGGAAUUACUGGGCGUAAAGCGCACGUAGGCGGACUAGUCAGUCAGAGGUGAAAUCCCAGGGCUCAACCCUGGAACUGCCUUUGAUACUGCUAGUCUUGAGUUCGAGAGAGGUGAGUGGAAUUCCGAGUGUAGAGGUGAAAUUCGUAGAUAUUCGGAGGAACACCAGUGGCGAAGGCGGCUCACUGGCUCGAUACUGACGCUGAGGUGCGAAAGUGUGGGGAGCAAACAGGAUUAGAUACCCUGGUAGUCCACACCGUAAACGAUGAAUGCCAGUCGUCGGGCAGUAUACUGUUCGGUGACACACCUAACGGAUUAAGCAUCCGC